GUGGCCGAUGAUGGAAACUAGUUGAGCGUCCAAACAUGUUCCGACGUCAUAUUCAUGAGGGAUCUAUACAACACAAAUCACCUUUCGGGUCUGAUGG